UCAGUUCAAAUGUGAAUAAAAAUUAAGAACAAAUUUAACAAGUAGCCAGUCAUUCUUAAAGCGCCACGUAUUGUCUUCACAAACCACAUCCUAUCUCGGAGACUCACCCCUUUAUUUCCCAAUUCCAGCCCGUCCCCUUAGCUCACUUGUCUACUCCGCACCGACCCAGAGCAUUAAUCAAUCUCAUUUUGGUUCCCUUUUUCCUCUGUUAUUCAUCCCGCUCUCCUGCUUCCAAAGGUUACUUCUUUCAUGCUUAAACUGUGCUAAGUUAUCCGAAGGAAAAUGAUGCAGUAUUUGCUUGAGAACUGGGAUGUCUGGUAUGGUUCAGUGUUUUGAAUGGAGUUUUCUACUGAUUGAAUUUGUGGGUUUAUCUUACGUGUUCUUGAUAUGCCUCUGAAUUCACUUUUGCUUCGUGAAAAAUGAUGGUUGAAUGAAUCACAAACCCCUCAAAUGGAUUUUCUAUUUUCUUGAAGUUUUGGGAAAGAAAGCUCAAAUUUUCUCUUGUUUGAUUAUGGGUUUCGUCCAUCUACUUCAUGAAAUCUGGGAAGUUAGUCUUCUACUCUAAUUUGUCAGAAUUUGUUCAGUUUAUUCCACGAAAACUGAAAUGCAAGUUCAGUUGUUGAUACACGUGAGCUUGAACUGUUGAUUUUUGCAGAUUUGUUGCACAUAAAUUGUUGUUAUUUUUAUUAAUUUCGUGCAUAUAAAUGUUAAAUUGUUGAUUUUCAGCUCAACAAUUUAAUUGGACUAACUUCUCAGUUUUCCUGAAGUACAGGGAUGA